rnacentral:rRNA from 1 species
ACACGUAAACAACCUGCCUUCAGGAUGGGGACAACAGACGGAAACGACUGCUAAUACCGAAUAAGUUCCAAGAGCCGCAUGGCCCAUGGAAGAAAAGGUGGCCUCUACCUGUAAGCUAUCGACUGAAGAGGGGUUUGCGUCUGAUUAGCUGGUUGGAGGGGUAACGGCCCACCAAGGCGACGAUCAGUAGCCGGUCUGAGAGGAUGAACGGCCACACUGGAACUGAGACACGGUCCAGACUCCUACGGGAGGCAGCAUG